UACGAAGGGGACUAGCGUUGUUCGGAAUCACUGGGCGUAAAGCGCACGUAGGCGGAUGUGUCAGUCAGGGGUGAAAUCCCGGGGCUCACCUCGGAGCUGCCUUUGAUACAGCACGUCUCGAGUCCGGAAGAGGUGGGUGGAAUUCCUAGUGUAGAGGUGAAAUUCGUAGAUAUUAGGAAGAACACCAGUGGCGAAGGCGGCUCACUGGUCCGGUACUGACGCUGAGGUGCGAAAGCGUGGGGAGCAAACAGGG
rnacentral:rRNA from 1 species